UACGUAGGGGGCGAGCGUUGUCCGGAGUUACUGGGCGUAAAGCGCUUGUAGGCGGUCCACCAAGUUUGGGGUGACAGUUGCCGACUUAAUCGGCAAAGUGCCUCAAAGACUGGCGGACUUGAGGGCCACAGAGGGACAUGGAACUCCAGGUGUAGUGGUGAAAUGCGUAGAUAUCAAGAGGAACACCUGAGGUGAAGACGGGUUGCUGGGCCAACACUGACGCUGAGGCGCGAAAGCCAGGGGAGCAAACGGG
rnacentral:rRNA from 1 species